GAGAUGUGGGUAGUCCGCACGAGCGCAACCUCAUUUUUAGUUGCCAUCAUUAAGUUGGGCACUCUAAAAAAACUGCCAGUGAUAAGCUGGAGGAAGGUGGGGAUGACGUCAAGUCCUCAUGGCCCUUACGUGUUGGGCUACACACGUGCUACAAUGGUACUUACAGCGUGAUGCUAAGACGCGAGUCCAAGCAAAACACAAAAAGGUACCUCAGUUCGGAUUGCACUCUGCAACUCGAGUGCAUGAAGCUGGAAUUACUAGUAAUCGCGGAUCAGCGCGCCGCGGUGAAUACGUUCCCGGGUCUUGUACACACCGCCCGUCACACCAUGGAAGUUGGUUUCACCUUAAGGCAAAAUGUUAACCCUCGGGAAACAUUUGACUACGGUACGAUCAGCGACUGGGGUGAAGUCGUAACAAGGUAGCCGUAGGGGAACCUGCGGCUGGAUCACCUCCUUUCU
rnacentral:rRNA from 1 species